AUCCAGCUGACGAGUCCCCUAUAGGACGAAACGCGUGUCGUUUAU
rnacentral:hammerhead_ribozyme from 1 species